UUAGGUUUGUAGGAUCUAUUUCCCCUGUAAGAAGUGUGUUAAUGGCACGCUACAAGUUAUGUACACAGUAAAAAAAUAACUAGGCUUCAAGUUCUCUGAAGCGUCAAGAUCUAAAACUAAAUCUAAAAGUUGAGUUUCUAACUAAUUCAAGAAGAAAGAGAUAGCAGAGACAUACAGGGAAUCAAGCAUAUAGAGGAA